GAAAACAUCUCCCCAGUGACCCCAGAAGGGGGCCUUGAGGUCUCAGACCUCAGGGAGCCACGAGCCGAUCCUGACGGUAGCCGGGAAGCGAACAGGCUGUGAGUGGCUGUUCGUCGGGUUGGCUGAAAACGUCUGGGUGUCUGCAACGUUCUCGCACGGCCUUUGGUCAUAAACGCUAACGGCGCAGCCCUGGGACUGUCUAGCCGCUUCCCGCCCCUGUGCAAGAACCUCCGCGAACCUCAAGUUAGAGCCCUUCGGAAACCCAAAAUCGGGGAAGACCACAGCUUGAAAAGUGCAGGGAGCCGAGCACUGUGUGUAGAGAUGGGCAGCAUUGGCUUUGGGGUCGGAUCGUGAAGAUAACGGCUUGCUAAGGGCUUGACCCUAUUUAGGCAUAGGGAAGUCUGUCAUCAGAUUCGUAGUUAGAAAGAUAUUUUUACAUAAGUGGGAUUUUAAAAUUAUGGUCUUAUAAUAAUAAUGGCAAGGCUUUCUAAGCCAAAUCGUCUUUGGCCAAUGCCAGCCCAAUUCUAUUUUAAAAAUCAGAAUAUUCAGAUAACAUUUUUUAAUACUUUGACAGAGUUUUAUAGAGUACUUGUUCAUAAAAUGUAACCUGGUCAGGUUCUCAUUGUACCCACAUGAAUUCUCAUAUGUGUCAUCCACGUGCAUUUUAGAACAGUAGCCAUUCCAAGACGACACAGCGAGUAAAGGUGGAACGCCUUUCAAACUCCAGAGUCAACCUUUUGCAAUCUACUACGCUGAUUUACUUUAGUUUAAACAGAAGUUCCAGAGAAAUGGAUAAUGACAAUGAUAGCUUUGGUGAAUUAAGUUUACCUACUGUGUCAUGCAAUGCUGCAGAAAAACGCAGAAGGUAGGAAUACUUGAUUCUGUAUAUAUUUUACAUGUAUAUGCAUUAAUAUGUAUAUAACAUUAAGCCCCAUUUAUAUAAUACGUAUAAUUUCUAUGUAUAUAUAUAUAAAUAAACUUGAAUCUUGCUGAAAAUUUAUUUCUCCCCACACCUUCAUGUAGCCACAGGACAAAAAUUUUAAGUUUAUUUUUGUAAGGUUGCUGUAAAGCAAGAGUAGUCUGACAUUGCUUUAACUUGUCUAGCAUUUGGAGGGAUGGAGAUCCCAGGGAUGGCAGGUGAAGCAACUUUUCUGGGCUGAGAUGUGGACCAGCCAAGUAUAGGAUGUUCCUGUGGAAAUCAUGGAGCCCAUGGGGUAGCUUGCUCAAAAUCCGUCCCCUCCGUUGGACCCUCUGCCAGUGCUGCCACGCCCAUUCCUAACACUUUUUUUUGUAAUGGAGUCGCCCCGCCCACUGUCUUCAAACUGCUCGCUGCAUCGAUUGAUGUUUUGUAAUCUUAACUCAUUUUCUCAAAGCACCGUUUAUCUUUCUCUGUACAGCUAAUGCCUUCCCCCACCGUCAUCUUGGACUGCUCCUAGAGAUGAGGAUUUUUUCCAACUAAUACGAAUAAAUUUCUUCAUUAUGUUUUUACAUGGAAUAAUCUGCCCUCGCAAAUGCUUCCACAGCUGUCCUGAACCAGCUCUGGAGCCACUGCCAAGGGAUGAGAAAAAUGAAGCUCAAAGAAGUGGCAUCCUGUGCUCUGAUCUGCUCGUAUUGAGUAACUUUGGUGACUGUUUCCAUCUGAAGUCCCAGAUUUCCUCUCACAUGUGUGCUGCUCCUACACAUCUGAGGCUGGCAUCUAGAGGUGGCCCCAGGAAGAGGGAGAUGCCGCAGACAGGCACAAGGCCCGCACCCUAAUGGCAUGUUCUCCACGUCAGGGCAGCACUGGAGAACACAGAGAUUGCUCACCUUACGUCAGAGAGAACCAUCAGGGGUUACAGUUUAGUUAGUCCAAAUAUGAAACCUGUUUUAAUGAAAGCUAUGCAAGUUUUAUGACUAAUUGGCUAAUUAAUUUGCUAUUCCAGCAUAAAAUUUCAGAAUGGAACUGAAUUAAACUAUUGUGGUUUAAAAACA